rnacentral:lncRNA from 1 species
UACCAGUUCCGCACCGAAAAAUGGUAUCAAAUGUAUAAAACUUUUUAAUGACAUUUUUAUAUUAAAAGUUUUCUACUGAAAGAAGUUAAGCACUUUUAACAAAGAAACUUAAAAGGUCUAAUGUAUACAGUUGUUAAAGUUAAAAGAUUUUUGAAAAGAAACCGAAAUGUAAGAUUUUUAGAAAAACAUAAAAUAGUUAACUGUUAAACAAAAAGAGACAAAUAAAAUAUGAGUAAAAGCAAACAUAAUAGAAACAACUAAAAUUAUAACGGAUUGAUUUUCCAGAUUUGCUUGCUUCUGGAAGAGUCUCAAGGAAGAAAGAGGCCCAAAGAGAAAUAGAGGAUGAACGUUUCCAAUGUGAGCGAUGGUGGUGAGUCCCGAAAUGAGACUUUUUGCAUGAUAAGAGCCUUUUAUGAACACUCCAAUAAGCUCCGAGAGUGUCCAUGAAAAUAAAGAGAGUAAGAAGAGAUUAGUAGAGCGAGUCAACCUUAAACGAUAUUUUGAAUAAAUCAAGAAUAGAGUCGAGUAAAGUCGGACAAAAAAUUGAUAUCCAAAACAUGAAACGUACAAAUGCCAAAAGAGGCUCAAACAAACUACUACAUCGUCUUGGAAGUUAUGAUAUAAUACACAAACCCAUUAGUAACUAGAUGGAAAUCAAUCAAAUUUCUUGAUAUAUAUAUAUAUAUAUAUAUAUAUAUAUAUAUAUAUAUAUAUAUAUAUAUAUAUAUAUAUAUAUAUAUAUACUAGAGUCACCGCACGUGCAUUGCACGUGGUUGCCUAGUCUCGUGAUGCGUUAAAUUGUGAAGCAGUAAAGCAUGAAUACUUUCUUUGUUCAAUAUAUGGAAUAUGUCUUUAAGGAAUUUGUUUGUAUGGAUGUUUCUUAGUUACUAUAUAUUUGUCGGUAUGGAUGUUUCUUAGUUACUAAAUAUUAGUUCAUGCCUACAAUUGUGAAGCAGUAAAGCAUGCACACUCUCUUUGUUCAAUACAUGUCAUACGUCUUAAGGAAUUUGUUUGUAUGGAUGUUUCUUAGUUACUAAAUAUUUGUUUAUAAAUAAUACUCCAUUUAGUCCGACAAAUUGUCUUGAAUUAGAUGCAUUUAAUGGUGCGAAAGCUCAAAAUAAUAAGCGGAUAUGUAAUAUUGCUCGAAGCUACAUUUGGUAUUGUUUAUGACAUUGUUCCAAAAUUGCGGAUACCUUGAAGGAGUUUGAAGUCAUUCAUAUCCUAAUUAUCAAUAUCAAAGUUUUCACAUUAACUGUAUUUCCUUCAAAAGUUGCAUUAUGAUGGCUAGCUCAUCUCUUUUUCAACCGGACCUAUAAAUAUGACCAAAAGACAUUUUGAUUAGCUUCAUGUAAUAUGUUAGUUUUGUUCCAACUUGAUUACGCUAAUGAAGAUUGAAAGCGUCACUAAGAUAAUACUUUCUUGCGUUACACGUGAUUACCAAUUUGAAAAAUAUAUGUUAUGAUUAAUAGAAUUGCUUAUUUAAGCAAAGAUUUGAAUACUAAGCUUAGAAAAAAAUAAUAUUGCAGAUUCUUUUGUGAAUAUUCAAUGUGGAUCGUCAUAUAUGUCUCUUAUUCAUGGAAACCUAUGAAGAUGGUCAAUGAAAAAAUUUAUUAGUUAAAUGUAAUUAUAUAUAUAUAUAUAUUUCAAUUUGAUUAGGUUCAAUCAUGUAAUUAGUCUUAUCUCACUAAUAUUACCUUAUAGACAAUAUAUAUUUAUUUUGUAUUUUUCUUGUCAUCUGAGUAGAUGUGCUUUGCCUGUGUAUUCUACAUUAAAUUGUUUAUAUAUCAUAUGAACAUGUGAAGAGAACAACUACAUUUUAUAUAUUCACAUAUUUUCACAUUUGUUGUGAGUUUUUUUCAAAAAAGAAUAACUCUGUAAAUUUUAAAAUAAUAUAUUUUCAAGUUUGAAGAUCUC